rnacentral:lncRNA from 1 species
UAUAUUUAAUAAAUAAUUUUUUUAUUAAUAAAUAAAUAAAAUUAUUUAUAAAAUAUAUAUACUUUAUCAUUAUACAUAAUUAGCUUGUAUACAUACUAUUUUCACCAUUUUUAUUCUUCAUUUUUCUUUUUCCUAUCCAUAGUACGGAAAGAAAAAAGAAUUUCACGCUCUUCCUUUCGGUAAGGGAGGAUUAAGGAAAUUUUAUUGAUUGUAACUUUCUCCAGACCUCCGGGAAAAACAUGAAAAAAUAGGCUCGAAUUAUAGGAUCGACCUACCACCAUUACUCUUGGUCUCCUGCCCACCAUAAUCACCAACAAAAAGAAAACACCACACAAUAUGCCCAAAUAGGAUUAGAUAAGAAAUAUUUCGAUAAUGAGCUACUCUCUCUCUCUCUCUCUCUCAAAAAUUGUAGUAACUUUCUUUCAUUUUCUUCUUCAGGUUCGGUUCCUCCCAAUUGGUCAAACAAGUGCAAACCAGGCAAGGCAAUAAAGCACCAAGUUGGACAUCAUUUCUAUUCCUGUCGCAAUGUAGAUGACUAAAUGAGUUGAUCUGAAUCGUUGAGUCGAAGCCAUUUCUCAACAUGUCAACCAUUACCCAGGAUGUAAUUUAACCAUGUCAUCAUUUAAUCACCAACAAAUUGUUAUGGAUUCUAGCUUCCUAAAAAGUUUGAGUCAUACCACAAUUAUUUUUCUUUUAUUUAUCAGUAUAUAUCAUUUGCAUAGGAUUGAUUUUGAGAAAACAAGGAACCAAACUCUGAAUUACAUCAGAUCUACAACAUCAGAUUAUGGUUAUGAACUAGAAAUAUCAGGACCGGAAUAAACAACCGGUUAAAGGGUUAAAAAUCUGCAAAAUUCUGAAAAGAGAUUACUCAUGUAUCUUGAUCAAAAAUUAGAGAUGUAUUAUUCGAUGUGUAUAUAUAUGUAUGUAUAUUUUUAGAGAGAGAAAAUGAGGGUUUGUACCUCGACAUAAGGCGGGUGGUUAAAAUUAGGAGCGUGAUUUGGGGGCAGCAUAAGCUAUCGAAGUUGUUGGAUUGGUCAUCGACGGAGAUCUGUUGCAGAAGAGAGAAAAAGGAAAAGCUACAAAGAGGAUAGAGAAAAUGAUUAUUGAAACUUAGAGAGAGAAUAUAAAAAGUUUUUUUGGUGAGGAGAUGAAUUGUGUAUAAUACUGAAUCCUAGUUGGAACCCCAUAGGAUAAUCUUUGACACAUAAAUUUUUAUUUAUAAUUCAUCAGCUAAUGUGUAUUUCUGUUUAAAGUCAAU